GGAUUUCACAUGAUAAACCCUACGUCAAAGAAGGAGGAGACGAAGCAUACGAGUUCAACUUGAAGAAAUACUUGAAAUCAAUUACAGGAUGGAGUCAUAUUCGAAUGAAGAAGAUGAUGAUUUUAGUGAUGCUACUUAUGAAGCAAGUACCGAAGAAGAGGAAUUUUCAGAUCCGUUGCCAUUAGAUCUUGAAGAUGAAGAUUUUGUUUCUAUUUUAAAUAGGACAAACGAUGAUCCUUUUUUAAAUAAACUUAGUUACGAGAAUAUGCGGCCGCAUUAUGGUAAUGAUGUUGACAACGAUGUUGGUGAGACUUUAGUCGAGGGUGAUGACGAUGAUCUAAACAUUGACGAAGAUAACGAAGGUACACACCACGUUGAAAAAGGGAAAGUAUAUCCAAUUCAUGAUCCAAACAUGAAUUGGAAAGACAUGCGGCCGAUUCUUGGGGAUAGGUAUGAAAGUCCUACACAAUUGAAGUUUGCUAUAUGUUGUAUGGAGUAGUAAAUGGAUAUAUGUUAAGUUAUAAAAAAAUGAAACAAAAAGGCUCUUAGUUGUAUGUGGUAACAAAGAUGUUGGUUAUUCUUGUCCAUUUAGAUUAUGGGCAUCUUGGAUGCAAACUGAGAAAUCUUUUCAUAUUAAAAGCCUUAAUGAUAAUCACAACUGUAGUAGAAAUUACAGUUAGGGUCCCUAGUGACAGCCUUAUGGAUUGCAAAGAUGUACCUUAGAGAACUCAUUGCAAGACCUUUUGUUAGAAUAAGAGACAUGCAAGCGGAUAUAUUGCGUGACUACAUGGUUAAAGUAAGUAGAGGUCAGUGUUGUCGAGCAAAAUCUAUGGCAAUGUUCGAAAUAGAGGGUUGACUGAAAGAACACUAUGCGCGAAUUUGGGAUUAUGCACAUGAGAUUUUAAGAUCCAAUCCCGAAAGUUCUGUGAAAGUGGGAGUAAAUGGUAUGCCAGAUGGGAAGGUAAUGUAUGCCCAGCUAUAAGGACGAAGAUACAAGAAUGGUCAAAAGAAUCAAGGAAGUGGAUCGUUAUCCCAAGCGGCGGCAAUGUGUUUGAGGUACGGGAUGGAAAUGAAGCUUAUAAUGUGGAUCUAGAUAAUAGAGAAUGUAGUUGUAGAUUGUGGCAAAUAUCCGGAUUACCAUGUUUGCAUUCAAUAACUGCUAUAUACUACAUCAACAAUGAUCCAGAGAAUUAUGCAAGUGAUUGGUUCAAGGUUGAGAAGUUCAAGGAUACUUACGAGCACAAUAUGAAACCGUUAAAUGGAAGCAAAAUGUGGAUGGUAACAUCUUACAUUAAACCACUUCCUCCAAAAGAGAGAAGAAUGCCGGGUAGACCAUCAACGAAGAGAAAAAGACAUGAAACUGAAAAGCAAGGGAAGUAUAAAAAAGUAUCAUUUAUCGGAAGACAAAUAACUUGCAGCAACUGUUUAGAGAAAGGGCAUAAUGUGAAAACAUGUACAAAUGAAAAAAAAAAAAACUUGCACCGCCCAAAGAACCUAAGAGAAAA